rnacentral:tRNA from 1 species
GCGCCCGUAGUUCAAUCGGAUAGAGCAUCUGACUUCGGAUCAGAGGGUUAGGGGUUCGAAUCCCUUCGGGCGUGCCA